rnacentral:misc_RNA from 1 species
UACGGAGGCUCCUAGCGUUGUUCGGAAUUACUGGGCGUAAAGGGAGCGCAGGCGGACCGGUCAGUCUGGAGUGGAAUCCCGGGGCUCAACCUCGGAAGGCCUUCGGAUACUGCCGGUCUUGAGUUCGUGAGAGGAAAGCGGAAUUCAGGGUGUAGCGGUGAAAUGCUUAGAUAUCCUGAGGAACACCAAUGGCGAAAGCAGCUUUCUGGCGCGAAACUGACGCUGAGGCUCGAAAGCGUGGGUAGCGAACGGG